rnacentral:lncRNA from 1 species
GCAGGAGGAGGAGCAGGAUCGGUGCCGGCGUCGGCGGUGCUGCGGGAAAGUUCUGAAACAAUGUCAUCCCUACUACUUCUGUACAUCCGGCUUCAUACGCGCUUGAAACACUGAUGAUGGUGAAGGCUGUGGGCAGUGGCAGGAUGAAGCAGACACCAGGACUUCGCUCACCCACCAAGCUGGAUGUGCCUGUGCUGAUAUCCUGGGGCAGAGCAUCCUAAAGAGCUCUGCAAGGGGAAGAGAACACAGCAAAGUCCAGGAGGUGACAGCAAGGAGCUUGGUUCAUGCUGUUCUUAGGCAGAAGGGCUUCUGCAUGCAAGAGAGAAUCACAUGGUGGGGUAAGAGCACUCCUGCUCCCCUGCAUCCACUCUCCCGGUUCCCUCUCCUUCCACAGACUUGCAUUCAUACUUGACCUUUUCACUUAACUCUUACUCCAUGGUGAGCACGGAAGUAGUUUGCCUCACGACAACAUUCAUAGAGAGUACUGUGCAUUUCAGAACCACUGAGGAGAGAGCACUGACUAC